GUCAACCACCCCUCCUUAAAAGGAGAGGCUUGAGCCAUCAAGCCGGUUGACCAGCCUCAGUGAUCCGAAAGGAGAACUACGUUGUCGUCAGGUGACAAGACCCGCCCCGGGGUGCUUCCUCAGCUCCGAGCUCC
rnacentral:sRNA from 1 species